GUGCCUUAAACUAAUGAGUAAGGAAAAUAUACGAGCCUAGUUGAGUCUAGUGCUCAAAUAGCAAUUAUCUCAUUGCAUUUAUGCUUUGAGGGAUAUUUUUGGAGAGGCAAAGGUCGUCCCCUUGAGCGUCCGUUCCUGGACACGUUCUUCCUG